GUGAGGAAUAUUGGUCAAUGGGCGGGAGCCUGAACCAGCCAAGUCGCGUGAAGGAAGAAGGAUCUAUGGUUCGUAAACUUCUUUUGCAGGGGAAUAAAGUGCGGGACGUGUCCUGUUUUGUAUGUACCCUGAGAAUAAGGAUCGGCUAACUCCGUGCCAGCAGCCGCGGUAAUACGGAGGAUCCGAGCGUUAUCCGGAUUUAUUGGGUUUAAAGGGUGCGUAGGUGGUUUGAUAAGUCAGCGGUGAAAGUUUGAAGCUUAACUGUAAAAAUGCCGUUGAAACUGUCGGACUUGAGUGUAAAUGAGGUAGGCGGAAUGCGUGGUGUAGCGGUGAAAUGCAUAGAUAUCACGCAGAACUCCGAUUGCGAAGGCAGCUUACUAAGCUACAACUGACACUGAAGCACGAAAGCGUGGGGAUCAAACAGGAUUAGAUACCCCUGUAGUCC
rnacentral:rRNA from 1 species